AAGCCUGAUCUAGCCAUGCCGCGUGAGUGAUGAAGGCCUUAGGGUCGUAAAGCUCUUUCGCCAGGGAUGAUAAUGACAGUACCUGGUAAAGAAACCCCGGCUAACUCCGUGCCAGCAGCCGCGGUAAUACGGAGGGGGUUAGCGUUGUUCGGAAUUACUGGGCGUAAAGCGCGCGUAGGCGGAUCAGAAAGUUGGGGGUGAAAUCCCAGGGCUCAACCCUGGAACUGCCUCCAAAACUCCUGGUCUUGAGUUCGAGAGAGGUGAGUGGAAUUCCGAGUGUAGAGGUGAAAUUCGUAGAUAUUCGGAGGAACACCAGUGGCGAAGGCGGCUCACUGGCUCGAUACUGACGCUGAGGUGCGAAAGUGUGGGGAGCAAACAGGAUUAGAUACCCUGGUAGUCCACACCGUAAACGAUGAAUGCCAGACGUCGGGCAGUAUACUGUUCGGUGUCACACCUAACGGAUUAAGCAUUCCGCCUGGGGAGUACGGUCGCAAGAUUAAAACUCAAAGGAAUUGACGGGGGCCCGCACAAGCGGUGGAGCAUGUGGUUUAAUUCGAAGC
rnacentral:rRNA from 1 species